GCCUGCAGGUGCCAGGUUUAGGGCAUUGUCUGCCUUCUAAAAGUGGUACAAACAAGAAAAUAGGAGGCACCAAGAUAAGACAGUCUGCUUCCUGGAAGUAGCAAUCUCCACGAGACAGAUGAAAUAGAAUUGAGAUGAGCUCUUGAAUAAUGGAUCCAAAUGAAUUCCCUGCAAUGAAUAUCUGAGGACAGAGUGAACUACUUACUAAGGGGAAAAAAAGAGAAAAUCCACCUCUUGGAAUUUCACAGUCUCAGAUUCCUGCCCGUAGGUGUAUAAUAGCUUUUUUUCCUGAAGAGUCUUGAAGGGAAGGCCCCACAAACCAAAACUGUGCAAUCUGCAUUGUGGCCCUGAUU
rnacentral:lncRNA from 1 species